GCUCUAGAAGCUCGUCCAAUUAUCACGAAAAGUAUUUCUUCUGCUGUUAUUUAUGCUGCUUCUGAUGUAACUUCACAGAUGAUUAUGAUGUCACCUUCAGAUUCUUUAGAUAUAAUUAGGACUCUACGAAUGGCUAGCUUUGGACUAUUAAUUUUAGGAACAGCACAGCAUUAUUGGUUUAACUUUGUGGCAAGUGUAUUGCCGAAGCGGGAUACCAUUAGUACAUUGAAGAAGCUAUUGAU
rnacentral:misc_RNA from 1 species